UACAGACCAAGUUGUUAAGAGCUAUUGGCGGAUGCCUUGGCAUUGACAGGCGAUGAAGGAUGCGUUUACCUGCAGUAAUCUUCGGUGAGCUGGUAUAGAGCUAUGACCCGGAGGUAUCCGAAUGGGGCAACCCGAUAGACUAAUAGUCCAUCAUUAUAUGUUGAAUACAUAGGCAUAUAAGGCGACACCCGCUGAACUGAAACAUCUUAGUAAGCGGAGGAAAAGAAAUCAAAGAGAUUCCCUGUGUAGCGGCGAGCGAAAGGGGAACAGCCUAAACCAUAUUUUUAAUAUGGGGUUGUAGGGUCGAUAACAUGGGAUCUUAAGUUUUAGUUGAAUACUUCUGGAAAGUUGAACGAUACAGGGUGAUAGUCCCGUUAACGAAAAAACAAAAGACGCUAAUCGAUACCUGAGUAGGGCUAGACACGUGAAACCUAGUCUGAAUCUGGGGAGACCACUCUCCAAGGCUAAAUACUAGUCAAUGACCUAUAGUGAACCAGUACUGUGAAGGAAAGGUGAAAAGAACCCUUGUUAAGGGAGCGAAAUAGAACCUGAAACCAGUAGCUUAUAAGCGGUCGGAGACCUAUAACUCUUCGGAGUAAUGGUUGACGGCGUGCCUUUU
rnacentral:rRNA from 1 species